UUUGGUGGAGGCACCAAACUCAUCGUUGACUUGGGAGUGGUGCAGCCCACGCUGAGCGUCCUCCCUCCCUCCAGAGUGGAGCUGGAGCAGGGCAGUGCUACACUAGUGUGUGUGGCCAGUGGGGGCUUCCCCUCAGACUGGAAGCUUGGCUGGAAGGUGGGGGGCAGCAGCAGGUCUGGGGGGGUGUCAGAUAGCCUGGGGGUCCUGGGGAAAGAUGGCCACUACAGCUGGAGCAGCACCUUGACCCUCCCUGCAGACCAGUGGAGGAAGGCGGGCUCAGUGAGCUGUGAGGCCAGUAAGAAUGGCCAGACGCAGCCUGUCACUCAAACCCUGAAUCCUGACCAGUGUUCAGAGUAGUGAGGCUCCAGCACGUCUCAGGUGGCCCUGUUGCUUUUGAUAAUUGACAUUAAUAUAACAUGUCUUCUAAUCAAUAACAUGAUGCUCUCUGGAUUUUACCCCUUGCUUGUGUUGGUCACAUAUUGACCAUUUAAUAAAGAUGUAAAGAAUAAAUCCUUUCUUGUCAUCAUUU